ACUUAUUUAUUUACUAGCAGAUGCCUGCAGCUUCGUCCGCCUAAAUUUAGGUUUUAAAAAUCCCAUGGGAACUUUUGAUUUUCCAGGACAAAAGUAGCCUAUCCGUAGCAGCCCGUCCCUGGGAUGCAAGGUAUCUCUUACCA